AAGGGCGGGAGCGCGGGGGGCUGGGGCUGGGCCGGGGGCGGCCCACCGCACCUGGGCUCUGCUCAGGGGGAGGCCUCACCGUGCGCCCCGGGGGAUGCCCGAGGCGUGGCGUCUGGCCGGGCUGGGGAAGGGUUCGCGUCGGUGCGAGGGGGGAGGCCGCAGCGGGGCUGUUGAGGGGUGAGGGCAGGUGGCGCUGGGCGGGUGCUGGGCCGCAGGAGGGACGGGGACUGCGGUGUGCAGCAGCCGCUGCGUGUGCUGGGCGUGAGGCAGUGGCUGUUCGGGCAGCUGUGCUGGAGGGAGCGUACCCAGAGUUUUGCCAGAGAUCCUCAAGUUUGUUUCUUGUUGCGAUUGUAUUAUUAUUUCUAUUAUGGCCAGGCACCCUCCUUCUCUGAGGGAUGGGUCCCAGCCAGGAGGGACAUACGUCAGGCACCUGCCUGGACCAGAGCCCUCCCGCCUCCACUGGUGGCAUUGCGAGGCAGUUACUCUGCGAGCGCUCUCUACCUUUGGCACAGGCCCAGCGGCACAGUUCUGAGGAAUAUGCAGCUAUGGUGUGGAUCACGCGUGUCGCCGUGCACCUGGCAGUUCAUGUGAGAGCUGUGGGGAGUUUUGCACAGUUCUUCUGA
rnacentral:lncRNA from 1 species